UCGUCAGGUGGGAUAAUCCUUACCUGUUCCUCCUUCGGGAGGGCAGAUAGAACAUGAUGAUUGGAGUCCGCAUGAUACGUGAUUAGCGUCUCUGCGUAAUCAGGACUUGCAACACCCUGAUUACUCCUAUCUGAU
rnacentral:snoRNA from 12 species